rnacentral:rRNA from 1 species
AUAUCAGUAAGCGGAGGAACAGAAACUAACAAGGAUUCCCUUAGUAAUGGCGAAUGAAGCGGGAAUAGCUCAAAUUUGAAAUCUCAGUGAGUAACAUCACUGCGAAUUGUAGUCUAAAGAAGGUAAUGCAGGCCGUGCAGCGGACCAAGUUCCUUGGGAUAGGACGCCAGAGAGGGUGAGAGCCCCGUCAGUCCGUGUUGACGAGUCAAGUCAGAGCCUCUCUACGAGUCGAGUUGUUUGGGAAUGCAGCUCAAAGUGGGUGGUAAAUCUCAUCUAAGGCUAAAUAUUGGCAAGAGACCGAUAGCGCACAAGUA